AGGAUUACCGGCACCUGGUCAGGAGCACCCGGGGAUUCGGAAUCUCUGCCUUUACAGGACAGCAGGAAAGGGUAAGUCAGUGGCUGAUCAACUAUGAGUUUGAGGAGCAAGAUGAAGAAUGUACAUGUUCAAGCCAUAUCAGACCAAGCGGGUUAAGGGUCUAUCAGUGAUGAACUUUUGAAUUCUAUUUUGCCGUUUAGGUCGGCUAGAAAUAAAUGACUUGUAAUAGCGUUUGUAAAUAUUUUUGGGAUCCCAACUAUUUUAAAAGUUUUAAAUAUAUUACAAGUUUAUUUUC